rnacentral:rRNA from 1 species
AAAUUGAAGAGUUUGAUCAUGGCUCAGAUUGAACGCUGGCGGCAGGCCUAACACAUGCAAGUCGAACGGUAACAGGAAACAGCUUGCUGUUUCGCUGACGAGUGGCGGACGGGUGAGUAAUGUCUGGGAAGCUGCCUGAUGGAGGGGGAUAACUACUGGAAACGGUAGCUAAUACCGCAUAACGUCGCAAGACCAAAGAGGGGGACCUUCGGGCCUCUUGCCAUCGGAUGUGCCCAGAUGGGAUUAGCUAGUAGGUGG